UCAUCUCGCCAAGUAUUUAUACCCACUCAUUAAUUUCCAAUUCCUUCACCUGCUAAGGGUCGGAGCUCCACCAUUGGAGCACCUCUCAGUGCUAAAAAUGGGAGAUUUUUUAUACAGAGGUUUUUCCCUGUAUACUAAAAGUUAGCAGGCAUUUUGGAGUGAGGGUUGUAACCCUCCACCAAACUUAUCUGUUUGUGUAUGUAUAUAGGGCCGCAGUUUUCUUGGUGAAAGGAAAACAUCUGACAAAUUUGGCAGAGCUCGGCCGAAGACAUACCUGAAUCGGCAAGUCACAAAACGGCAAUGGGAACUCUUAUAUGGGUCUCUCUGGUUUCUCUUUUUUUCCUCGUUUCUUGGUUUCUUGUUAUUUUAGUGUGGAAGAAAAAAGCUCAUGACUCAAAUAUAUAGAUGGAGUUUGAUGGUUUAUACAAUUAGAUUACUUGUAAUCACAUGCUGGCACAUAAAGAAGAAAGAAAGAAAUAUGAAAGAGCCUAAGGCAUAGGUGUCAGGUAGUGGGGCACCACAACAUGACCUCCUUAACUCCGUUCCUUUCAGAUCCCAAGUUCCUUUCAGAUCCCAAGUUAAAGAAAGAGAGAAGAUAUCCUUGUUCCAGUUACAACACUCCUUUCGAUUCCUACCGCGUCCCAAAUUAACAUCAAGAAAGAGGUAUGCUUGCACUACUGUGGUGUUAAUAAAGUGGCGUUGUGGGCCGUAAAAUUUGGGGUCAUCAAAUCGGACCGGAGCAUUACUAGGCUAAUUGUGGAAGGAAACUCAGCGAAUGUUAUAAAUUGGUGUAAGACCCUGGAAAUUGGUGUAAGACCCUGGGAUAAACUCCAUGGGCAUGGACUAAUAUUAUGGAUGAGGUCGUUAAUGGCCUGUUUGGAAGGGAAGUUAUCUUCAAGCACAUUCCAUAGGGAGCGUAAUGAAGAGAUGGAUAAGUUAAUUAUGGAGGUGGCAGAUGCGCAUUUCACCCACUGAGUUUUCUUGCCUGGGUUGCAGCCUGGUUCUUGUCUUUCGUUUGGUUAUACCUGUCUUUUUAUUUUUUCAUCUAUUUUUCUUUUUUGUUGUUCAUUUAUCUUUGUAAACUUUUUUCAUUCUCUCAAUAAAAUCUCGUUAACAUUCCAAAAAAAAAA